AGAGUUUGCUUUUGGCUCAGAACGAACGCUGGCGGCGUGGAUAAGACAUGCAAGUCGAACGAGAGAAUUGCUAGCUUGCUAAAUAAUUCUCUAGUGGCGCACGGGUGAGUAACACGUGAGUAACCUGCCCCCGAGAGCGGGAUAGCCCUGGGAAACUGGGAUUAAUACCGCAUAGUAUCGAAAGAUUAAAGCAGCAAUGCGCUUGGGGAUGGGCUCGCGGCCUAUUAGUUAGUUGGUGAGGUAACGGCUCACCAAGGCGAUGACGGGUAGCCGGUCUGAGAGGAUGUCCGGCCACACUGGAACUGAGACACGGUCCAGACACCUACGGGUGGCAGCAGUCGAGAAUCAUUCACAAUGGGGGAAACCCUGAUGGUGUGACGCCGCGUGGGGGAAUGAAGGUCUUCGGAUUGUAAACCCCUGUCAUGUGGGAGCAAAUUAAAAAGAUAGUACCACAAGAGGAAGAGACGGCUAACUCUGUGCCAGCAGCCGCGGUAAUACAGAGGUCUCAAGCGUUGUUCGGAAUCACUGGGCGUAAAGCGUGCGUAGGCUGUUUCGUAAGUCGUGUGUGAAAGGCGCGGGCUCAACCCGCGGACGGCACAUGAUACUGCGAGACUAGAGUAAUGGAGGGGGAACCGGAAUUCUCGGUGUAGCAGUGAAAUGCGUAGAUAUCGAGAGGAACACUCGUGGCGAAGGCGGGUUCCUGGACAUUAACUGACGCUGAGGCACGAAGGCCAGGGGAGCGAAAGGGAUUAGAUACCCCUGUAGUCCUGGCAGUAAACGGUGCACGCUUGGUGUGCGGGGAAUCGACCCCCUGCGUGCCGGAGCUAACGCGUUAAGCGUGCCGCCUGGGGAGUACGGUCGCAAGAUUAAAACUCAAAGAAAUUGACGGGGACCCGCACAAGCGGUGGAGUAUGUGGCUUAAUUCGAUGCAACGCGAAGAACCUUACCUGGGCUUGACAUGUAAUGAACAACAUGUGAAAGCAUGCGACUCUUCGGAGGCGUUACACAGGUGCUGCAUGGCCGUCGUCAGCUCGUGUCGUGAGAUGUUUGGUUAAGUCCAGCAACGAGCGCAACCCCUGUUGCCAGUUACCAGCACGUGAAGGUGGGGACUCUGGCGAGACUGCCCAGAUCAACUGGGAGGAAGGUGGGGACGACGUCAGGUCAGUAUGGCCCUUAUGCCCAGGGCUGCACACGUACUACAAUGCCCAGUACAGAGGGGGCCGAAGCCGCGAGGCGGAGGAAAUCCUGAAAACUGGGCCCAGUUCGGACUGUAGGCUGCAACCCGCCUACACGAAGCCGGAAUCGCUAGUAAUGGCGCAUCAGCUACGGCGCCGUGAAUACGUUCCCGGGUCUUGCACUCACCGCCCGUCA
rnacentral:rRNA from 1 species